GUUUGAGUUAUUAGUUAAUUUGAUCCCAUGUGUUUCCAUUGAUCCCAGGUGUUCCUCGUCUUCCGCUCAUCAAGUCAUGUGUUUAAAUAGUGUUCCCAACCCAAGUUUCUUUUCCUGCUGUUAAAUGUCAUCCCUGAUGUUCCAGUGUUUGUUGUCUCCUUGUUUCCUGAAUAAAACUCCUUUGAAGUAUUCUCUAGCAUCUCCUCGUCCCUUCCAGCCUGAGUGACCAAACAGCAGACCAAACAUUUUUCUGUGCUUUCCUUCACGUCCCCUAAUGGAGGAACGAGCCCUGUUUAUCGCCAUGGCUCAGGCGAGUCCCAACUUGGUUAGUUAUGUGAAGGCAUUCGUCCCGCUCGCCCAUGCCAGCUCCCUCAAGGGAGAUACACUUGUGACACUGUUCGGGAUCAGGAUAACAUACCAUCAUCCCGUGGAGCUCCCAGACACAACCAACCUUGACUGGAAGUAGGAAGUCAUCCGGUGUCUGGAGAGCCUCCGGUCCCGAUCUGGAACCCCUUAGCCUGGCGGUUCCCGAGCCCGGCCAGCCGAACAUUCAUGUGGCAAGCCCGCCAGUUAAUAUGGCAAGCCCAUUAAACAUUAAUAUGGCAAGCCCGCCAAAUGGUGCUCCAGCCCCAGAGCUCGCUCCAGCCCCAGAGCUCGCUCCAGUGUCGGCUCCAGCCCCACAAAAGUGCAUAUCUGAUCCCCAGUUAAGCCCAGGAGGGGUUCCUGAUUCCCCGUUAAGCCCACGGAGGGCUCCUAUUCCCGAGUCAAGCCCAGGCAGGGCUCCUGUACCCCUGUUAAGCCCACGGAGGGCUCCAAGCCCCGAUUUUAGACCUGUAAGUUUCCCCAAUUAUUUUUUUUUUUGGGGGGGGGGGGGCAGUAAGCAUCAAGCCAUAGAGGCAGUGGCUGGGGCUGCGGCCUCGGAGGCUGCUCCGCCAUGGCCCCUCCGGGUCUCCAGCUCAGCCAUGGCCCCCCUGGGUCUCCAGGUACGCCAUGGCGUCCUGUGCAGGUGCCGCUCUGGUGGCCCACUGUCCCGGGUGUGUCCUAGGUGCCUCCAGAGUGCCCUCCCCCUCCCCUUGUGAUGUUAUGUGGCGUGAGGUCACGCCUUCCAGAGGGGGGCGUCAUGUCAGACUCUGUCCCGUGU
ensembl:lncRNA